AGAGUUUGAUCCUGGCUCAGAACGAACGCUGGCGGCAGGCUUAACACAUGCAAGUCGAACGAGAAGCUGACUUCGGUCAGUGGAGAGUGGCGCACGGGUGAGUAACGCGUGGGAAUUUGCCUUUCGGUACGGGAUAACGUUUGGAAACGAACGCUAAUACCGUAUGAUGUCUACGGACUAAAGAUUUAUCGCCGAAAGAUGAGCCCGCGUAGGAUUAGGUAGUUGGUGGGGUAAUGGCCUACCAAGCCGACGAUCUUUAGCUGGUCUGAGAGGACGAUCAGCCACACUGGAACUGAGACACGGUCCAGACUCCUACGGGAGGCAGCAGUGGGGAAUAUUGGACAAUGGGCGCAAGCCUGAUCCAGCCAUGCCGCGUGUGUGAUGAAGGCCCUAGGGUCGUAAAGCACUUUCGCUAGAGAUGAUAAUGACAGUAUCUAGUAAAGAAGUCCCGCUAACU
rnacentral:rRNA from 1 species